rnacentral:tRNA from 7 species
GGUGGGGUUCCCGAGCGGCCAAAGGGAGCAGACUGUAAAUCUGCCGUCAUCGACUUCGAAGGUUCGAAUCCUUCCCCUACCACCA